AAUGUACUUUCUUAGAUCUGGUCUUUGUAGGAGAGAUCUUGAACUGGAUUCUAUGUGUAAAUAUUCAUUUCUUUUUGUUUCCGUGAAAGAAACAUCCAGCCCCCUUUUGGGUUGUGUAGUCAAAGGUGCUUGAGUCACUAGCCCGUGAGAUGGAACAGCUGCAUGCUGGCCUUGGGCCUGAUAGGAUUGACCUGCAAUUAUGCUGCCAUUCUUUAGCACAAAGUCUUGACUGGUAUGCAGAUAUU